UGAGCAAACAAAACACAAAUUCAGGUC
rnacentral:piRNA from 1 species